rnacentral:rRNA from 1 species
UGCAGUCGAACGGUGAAGAGGAGCUUGCUCCUUGGAUUAGUGGCGAACGGGUGAGUAACACGUGAGUAACCUGCCCUUGACUCUGGGAUAACUGCUAGAAAUGGUAGCUAAUACCGGAUACGACCCUCGGCCGCAUGGUCAGGGGGUGGAAAGAAUUUUGGUCAAGGAUGGACUCGCGGCCUAUCAGGUAGUUGGUGAGGUAAUGGCUCACCAAGCCUACGACGGGUAGCCGGCCUGAGAGGGUGACCGGCCACACUGGGACUGAGACACGGCCCAGACUCCUACGGGAGGCAGCAGUGGGGAAUAUUGCACAAUGGGCGAAAGCCUGAUGCAGCAACGCCGCGUGAGGGACGACGGCCUUCGGGUUGUAAACCUCUUUUAGUAGGGAAGAAGCGAAAGUGACGGUACCUGCAGAAAAAGCACCGGCUAACUACGUGCCAGCAGCCGCGGUAAUACGUAGGGUGCAAGCGUUGUCCGGAAUUAUUGGGCGUAAAGAGCUCGUAGGCGGUUUGUCGCGUCUGCUGUGAAAUCCGGAGGCUCAACCUCCGGCCUGCAGUGGGUACGGGCAGACUAGAGUGCGGUAGGGGAGAUUGGAAUUCCUGGUGUAGCGGUGGAAUGCGCAGAUAUCAGGAGGAACACCAAUGGCGAAGGCAGAUCUCUGGGCCGUAACUGACGCUGAGGAGCGAAAGCAUGGGGAGCGAACAGGAUU